UACUAUAUAGAUAGAUAGAUAGCUAAGUGAAUUAAAUAUCAUCAGCUGUCUAACUUCAUAUUAGCUAGCUAUCUUGAUGUAUUUAUCACUGUAAAAAACAAACUCCAAAUGCAUUUGUAGGUAGCUAGCUAACAACCAUGGAGGGUGAAAGGAUAGCAGCCCCUACUGUCAGUGAGAGAGGAGGCUAUUCUGGAUAGGGCAGGUACUUUUGUGUAGUUCCUGUCCCUAGAAGUGAGGACGGAGAUAAUAGUAACAUAAUAUUCAGUGUGGUGUAAUUUGACUAUAAUGAAGUGUGUUUCUUGUGAGGUUUUCUGUCCUCAGAUAAAGAGCUCUAUGAAAGCCAGUCUACAUAUGAAGAGGUCCCAAUGAAGAGCAGUGGUUCUUAGUCCUGGGGACUCAAAGAGGCACAUUGUUGUUUUUGCCUCAGCACUGCACAGCUGAUUCAAAUGAUCAACUCAUUAUCAAGCUUCAAGUGGUAUUUAUGUAUUCAUUUGUGAUGCUAUCCUUGAUAUGAUCCUGUUAUUGUCACAUGCUACACAUGUACAUAUGUGUGCCCAUGGAUCUAUCAAUCCAAUGUUAUCAUGAUUUGUUAUCAGGGAUAUUAUACUUUAGUAAUCCACAAUGACCUGGUGAUGUAAAAGUCUAAUAAUUACAUUGUCUUCCAUAUUGCUACAGAUACUUUGUAACUGGAGAUUCCUUCAAAACGAUUGCCUACAGUUACCGUGUAGGGCACUGCAAGGUUGGGUGACCAGGGUCAUCUGGGACUGCCUCCUGGAGGAAUUCAGGUGUGUGAAGGCUACCUGUGUCCUGCGUAACUUCAUGAGGAUGGACACGAGGACCAGGAGGGGAUCUGCAGCUCGCCGCCGUGUCCCAGAGGAGGAGUCUGCUGCUCUGCAGGAUGUUUCAAGGAUGGGGUCCAACCACGCAGCAAGAGAGGCAAUCCGUGUGCAGGAGAUCUUCACCUCCUCCUUCUUCAAAGAGGGUGCAGUUCCCUGGCAACACCAUAGACUACACUAUGCACAACCAAAGGCUCUUUUAAGAGGGUGCUGUUCCCUAGCAACACCAUAGACUACACUAUGCACAACCAAAGGCUCUUUUAAGAGGGUGCUGUUCCCUAGCAACACCAUAGACUACACUAUGCACAACCAAAGGCUCUUUUAAGAGCCAUCCACAUUGCAAUAAGAGUAUUCUUCCAUUUACUUAGCUAUGUCAACUGCAGUUAUUCAAUUCACAGUUUCUCUCCCUUUGAUUUCUACUUCUCAGGUGAGGGUGCUGUUUAGGUAAGGGUGUGAUGUCUGUGCAAAAACAAAACAGGCUGUUUUAAAUAACCCAUAUUGAAAAAAUGUAGAACAAUUUGACACCCUAUAACCCACACACUCAUGUAUCAAUCCGAUUGAUGGAUUGUGUUGUGCAGUAAGCAGGCUCAGGUGUAUAACUGUGGCUCCUUCCACCUUCAAAGAAUAGGCAAGAGGGCCAACCAUGGAGAAUAGUUAUAUCAGCUGUGUCGGUGAACCACUCCUGCAUCUGAACUGGCUACAUAGAGGGCACAGCAUGAUCAGAAAUAUGUUUUGAUGUGAGAGGAUGCCAACCCCUAGUCCCAUCAUCGCCACCUCACCUGCUUUUAAGAUAACCUUUGGGCCGACUAGAGACACUGCUAUAUAAUUGUGAUGAACUGAGAGAAUAUUUAGGUAGCACUGUGAUUCAUUAAUCAUGUGCUGCCUUCCCUGGUCCUAUGUGCUUACCUCUUUCCCUUUCUGUCUUUUACACCUCUCUCUCCACCUCUUUCUUUCUCUGUUUUUAUAAUUCACAACAGAUGUGCAUUGAAGUACAGAUUGAACUUGUAUUUAUAACACUUGGAUAAUGAGCUUUUCAAUAAAGCGUUUCACAUUC